GGGGCCGUGGCGCACACCUUCCCUAGUCACUGGCGCUCGUCCUCGUGACAAAAGAAAACUUCAGGCUCGGUUUUCCAGCUCGCAAACAGUUAAGUGACUUCCUGCAAACGCUAGAGUCCCAGCAACCAGCCUUCCAAUCAAAAGUAAGUUGGCUGAUGUCACUGACAUGGGCCCAGCCAAUCAGAAGGGCGUUCCGAAAGCUAGCGCUCCACACUUGUGAACGCGGGAGCCGUAGUGGAAGUGGACAACAUCCCUGUUAUUUUGUGCUGCUGGUAGUAAAAGUGUGAUAUGUAUGGGAAGGCAGGGGUGACGAAUAAAUGCAAUGUGAAUCAAUAUAUUUUUUUAAAUCUAAGUAUGUCAGGACAAGUUGCCCAAGAAGAAACACAAAUGAGAAAGGAUCAUUUCUUUUUUUUCUUUUCUUUCUUUUUUUUUUUUCAGUUUUGGGAUGCAGCAUACUUUUGGGCAGAUUUUUUAAUAAUCCUUCUAUUCAGUGCAUUAAUGAUGACUAAUUCAUUUUUAAAAUGCUGAGCUGACAAAAGUUCCGUUUAAACCAGUCUUUUUCCGUCUCACUACUCUUACACUGAAACACCCCCAACUUUGCUUUUGUGAUACCUACCAUUCCUCUCCUUCCCUAGCGCAAUUUAUUCUAGGUGAGCUAUUUUGGUUUGUUUUGAAGCUACUGUAACCCACCUUCAAUUAAAUGGAGACCAAAACAAAACAAAAAAAUCCUUCAUUUGUAUAAUUUUUAAAAACAUCAUUCUUAGCUCAUUUUCUUUCCUCAGACCCCUGAACGGUUUUCGGGGCUUCUCUCUCUUCCCUCACUUUACAAAUGUGGAGACGGAAACACAGAGAAGUGACCUGUCUACCUUAUCAGGUAGAUAGUGACAGAGCUCAACUGAAACAAUAAAUCUAAUGAUUCCAAGCCCUUUGGGCUUUCCAACAUCUGAGCUCUUCGAUUUUGUGAAAUAUUAACUGUGCUAAACAGAUUCUUAAGAACUGGAACAAGCCAGAGAUCCUUAGCCAUUGAAAACUGUGGCAUUACUUAAUCAAUGAUUAGCAUGGGUCUUGGAGUCUCAUUAACUCAGUUUGCCUCUCCCUCUGAAUGGUUGACAGUUGUUUUCCAUCUUGAUAGCUGAGAAAAGAAUCUAGGACUCAUGGCUCUUCAGGAGGCUCGCCAUCAGCACAACUGGUUAAAAAUACAUUGAUUGUCCUCACUGGGUGUGAAAGGUGCCUGCCUCUCUGUGAUGCAGAUCCACUGAAGUCCAACCUUGGCCCCACUGUCUGGUAGCCUUGGUGAAGGGUUGGGAAAAACUAACACCAGUUUUGUGGUCUCUAAAGGCAGAGUCCCAAAUUAACCCUCCCAGCUUGAAGGCCAGUGUAGUUUACUUUGACUUUGCUUUUGAAGCGGUACAGGAAGAUAUUGGUUGACUAUAUGGAAAAGGAAGUAUGGAAAGGGGGUGGCGGUCAACCAAGACUAUCAUCAUCACCAUCUUGGUAAAGUAGGUGCAUCAUGGUGUGUAAAAGUGAAGCCGUCUUCGAGUUCUUGAAUUCCAAUUCCCUUAAUUUUAGAAAAGAAUUCACUGAAGCACAGGGGAGUUUGCCUACUUCAUAAUUUUUCUGGGACAAACUCUGUCCCCAAGGAUACAUGAUCAUUUAGUAAUUGCACCUUUGCUUGCUUCUUUAAGGUCCGGCACAAAUACCAGUGGGAUCUCUCCACAGUCUCCAUGAUGACUGCCUGUACAGUGUCUUGGAUUUGCAUGAACUGACAUUGCACUGGGCACCUUCAGAUAGCCCUAGAGUUAACACUGGGAUUAUUCUAGAUAUGAAGGAAAACCUGCAUCUUUCCUUGGACAUUGUAAUCAAGGAACUUGAAUGAAUCAACCAUCAUAGUUUUUUUUUAAAAAUACAAACUUUCCCCUCCCUUACUUCUGGUCUUCUUCUCUUUAAUUAAUUAUCUUUAAUUUAAUUUUGUUUGGACUGGACAUAACCCCUGAAUUCUUCCAACUCAGUCAUUUCAGAGUUAUAAAAGAAAGUAAUGAAAGAAAAUCGAGAUUUCGCACACAUGA
rnacentral:lncRNA from 1 species